rnacentral:lncRNA from 1 species
GCAAUACUGUGUUUCACAAAAAACAGUGCUCAAAGUUCAGUAAAUGUAAAUAGCUGUUAACAUGAAGAAAUAAUGUAGAACAAGCCUGGAAGAUACAAACCGAUCACAUAUUAGUUAAGACUUCAGGUCAGUAUUACAGUAUAUGACAUUUGUACUGAUCUUUUCAGGACUUGUUAACAGCUUUUCAAAACAGGCUUUUGUCUGUCAGGUUCACAACUUGUGCUUUAAGUUACGCUUUGUUUCUAUAAUAACAAAUUGAAUCUUUUUCAUUGCUACCAUUUUGGAUAUCACAACAAAGUGAAAAAACAUUGUUAUAGGUACCAUAUCUGCACACCUGUAUUUCUUUGUUGUUUCAGUAUAUUAAAGGCCUUCCAUUGAUGUAUUGUCUUGUUGUAAUGAAUGAAAGAGAGUUCCAAGAUUUUUAAUCUGAAAUAUAGAAGACUGCAUCAGCUGUGACAUUUCAAGAGAGAACAAAAUGGAAGUCUCUUUCAGGGUUUUCAGUUCGAUACAAAACUAUCACUUUAAAUGUGAAUACAUGAUAAUAUUGUGCAUGCUAAAAUCACUUUGUGUGUUUAUACUGAUAUUUGCUUUAUUUUCACCUGCAAAAUCAAAUUUUAACACCUAUUACACCUUACCUUUUUGAAUCCUACUUGUAUCCCAAAAGUUAGGUCCCUUUUAUCUUAACAUGUCUGAUUUUUUUCUUUUCCUUGAUGAAUUGCACUUGCUUUGGCUUACUCCAACCUCGUGACUGUUAAGAGCAAUGAACAUGUAUGGCUGUUACUAUCAGCAGUGGUGUAUUUGCAGCGAUGCCUAUCAACAUCCACCAGAGAGCAGGGCAGCUCCAAAACCCACAUCUUUCAUGCUGUGGAAAUUGAUGGAGACAGCAACACAGCCAGCUUCUUGGCCAAACAACAUGGAAUGCAGUUCAUUUCAAAGGUACUGCUCUCUCAGCCUGUGAGGCUUGUGCGUGAUGUAUAUGAGAACGAUUUCCAGCAGAGAGAAGCUUAUCACAGAUCCACCUAAAAGGUAAGGCUAUUCUUUUAAUUUUUGGAUCACAUGCAGAACAGCUGCCUGAAGAACACUUGCACACAGAACAAGAAAGACAUUUGGUUUGGGUUUUGAUUAUACACAUCUUGCCAUUGUACCCAUACAGUAAAGCAUAACGGGCUUCAAAUAAAUGUAGAAUAUAUAAAUGAAAAGAACA